UACAGAGGGUGCAAGCGUUGUUCGGAAUUAUUGGGCGUAAAGCGCGUGUAGGCGGCUUGUUAAGUCGGGUGUGAAAGCCCUCAGCUCAACUGAGGAAGGGCGCCCGAAAACUGGCGAGCUUGAGUGUCGGAGAGGAUGGCGGAAUACCCCAAGUAGAGGUGAAAUUCGUAGAUAUGGGGUGGAACACCGGUGGCGAAGGCGGCCAUCUGGACGACAACUGACGCUGAGACGCGAAAGCGUGGGGAGCAAACAGG
rnacentral:rRNA from 1 species